UACGUAGGGUGCAAGCGUUGUCCGGAAUUAUUGGGCGUAAAGAGCUCGUAGGCGGUCUCUCACGUCGGAUGUGAAAAUCCAGGGCUUAACCCUGGACCUGCAUUCGAUACGGGCAGACUAGAGUUCGGUAGGGGAGACUGGAAUUCCUGGUGUAGCGGUGAAAUGCGCAGAUAUCAGGAGGAACACCGGUGGCGAAGGCGGGUCUCUGGGCCGAUACUGACGCUGAGGAGCGAAAGCGUGGGGAGCGAACAGG
rnacentral:rRNA from 1 species